UGGGGAAUCUUGCGCAAUGGGCGAAAGCCUGACGCAGCAACGCCGCGUGGGGGAUGAAGGCUCUCGGGUUGUAAACCCCUUUCAGCAGGGACGAAUCAAGACGGUACCUGCAGAAGAAGCCCCGGCUAACUACGUGCCAGCAGCCGCGGUAACACGUAGGGGGCAAGCGUUGUCCGGAUUUAUUGGGCGUAAAGAGCUCGUAGGCGGCUGAGUAAGUCGGGUGUUAAAUCCCCAGGCUCAACCUGGGACACCACCCGAUACUGCUCUGGCUAGAGUCCGGUAGGGGAGCGUGGAAUUCCUGGUGUAGCGGUGAAAUGCGCAGAUAUCAGGAGGAACACCAGCGGCGAAGGCGGCGCUCUGGGCCGGAACUGACGCUGAGGAGCGAAAGCGUGGGUAGCAAACAGG
rnacentral:rRNA from 2 species